rnacentral:rRNA from 1 species
AUUGAACGCUGGCGGCAUGCUUUACACAUGCAAGUCGAACGGUAACAGGCCGCAAGGUGCUGACGAGUGGCGAACGGGUGAGUAAUGCAUCGGAACGUGCCCAGUCGUGGGGGAUAACGCAGCGAAAGCUGUGCUAAUACCGCAUACGAUCUAUGGAUGAAAGCGGGGGACCGUAAGGCCUCGCGCGAUUGGAGCGGCCGAUGUCAGAUUAGCUAGUUGGUGGGGUAAAGGCCCACCAAGGCGACGAUCUGUAGCUGGUCUGCGAGGACGACCAGCCACACGGGGACUGUGACACGGCCCAGACUCCUACGGGAGGCAGCAGUGGGGAAUUUUGGACAAUGGGCGCAAGCCUGAUCCAGCAAUGCCGCGUGCAGGAAGAAGGCCUUCGGGUUGUAAACUGCUUUUGUACGGAACGAAACGGUCUGGGUUAAUACCCUAGGCUAAUGACGGUACCGUAAGAAUAAGCACCGGCUAACUACGUGCCAGCCGCCGCCGUAA